AAUGUUGUCUAUAUUUUAGUGGGGAAUAUUUUAGCUAAUGUUAGCUAGGUUAGCUAAUGUUGUCUAUAUUUUAGUGGGGAAUGUUUUAGCUAAUGUUAGCUAGGUUAGCUAAUGUUAACUACUUUAUUUCAGUGUGAAAUGUUUUAGCUAACGUUAGCUAGGUUCGCUAAUGUUUACUGCUUUAUUUCAGUGGGGAAUGUUUUAGCUAAUGUUAGCUAGGUUAGCUAAUGUUAACUACUUUAUUUCAGUGUGAAAUGUUUUAGCUAACGUUAGUUAGGUUAGCUAAUGUUAACUACUUUAUUUCAGUGGGGAAUGUUUUAGCUAACGUUAGCUAGGUUAGCUAAUGUUAACUACUUUAUUUCAGUGGGGAAUGUUUUAGCUAAUGUUAGCUAGGUUAGCUAAUGUUAACUACUUUAUUUCAGUGUGAAAUGUUUUAGCUAACGUUAGCUAGGUUAGCUAAUGUUAUCUAUAUUUCAGUGGGGAAUGUUUUAGCUAACGUUAGUUAGGUUAGCUAAUGUUAACUACUUUAUUUCAGUGGGGAAUGUUUUAGCUAACGUUAGCUAGGUUAGCUAAUAUUAACUACUUUAUUUCAGUGGGGAAUGUUUUAGCUUACGUUAGCUAGGUUAGCUAACGUUAGCUAAUGUUAACUACUUUAUUUCAGUGUGAAAUGUUUUAGCUAACGUUAUCUAGGUUCGCUAAUGUUUACUGCUUUAUUUCAGUGGGGAAUGUUUUAGCUAAUGUUAGCUAGGUUAGCUAAUGUUAACUACUUUAUUUCAGUGUGAAAUGUUUUAGCUAACGUUAGCUAGGUUAGCUAAUGUUAACUACUUUAUUUCAGUGGGGAAUGUUUUAGCUAAUGUUAGCUAGGUUAGCUAAUGUUAACUACUUUAUUUCAGUGUGAAAUGUUUUAGCUAACGUUAGCUAGGUUAGCUAAUGUUAACUACUUUAUUUCAGUGGGGAAUGUUUUAGCUAAUGUUAGCUAG